CCUACGGGUGGCAGCAGUGAGGAAUAUUGGUCAAUGGACGAGAGUCUGAACCAGCCAAGUAGCGUGAAGGAUGACUGCCCUAUGGGUUGUAAACUUCUUUUAUAAAGGAAUAAAACGAGGCACGUGUGCCUUUUUGCAUGUACUUUAUGAAUAAGGAUCGGCUAACUCCGUGCCAGCAGCCGCGGUAAUACGGAGGAUCCGAGCGUUAUCCGGAUUUAUUGGGUUUAAAGGGAGCGUAGAUGGGUUGUUAAGUCAGUUGUGAAAGUGUGCGGCUCAACCGUAAAAUUGCAAUUGAUACUGGCAGUCGUGAGUACAGUUGAGGUAGGCGGAAUUCGUGGUGUAGCGGUGAAAUGCUUAGAUAUCACGAAGAACCCCGAUUGCGAAGGCAGCUUACUAAACUGUGACUGACAUUGAUGCUCGAAAGUGUGGGUAUCAAACAGGAUUAGAUACCCCAGUAGUC
rnacentral:rRNA from 1 species